UUAGAGUUUGAUCCUGGCUCAAGACGAACGCUGGCGGCGCGCCUAACACAUGCAAGUCGAACGAGCGAGAGAGAGCUUGCUUUCUCGAGCGAGUGGCGAACGGGUGAGUAACGCGUGAGGAACCUGCCUCAAAGAGGGGGACAACAGUUGGAAACGACUGCUAAUACCGCAUAAGCCCACGGGUCGGCAUCGACCAGAGGGAAAAGGAGCAAUCCGCUUUGAGAUGGCCUCGCGUCCGAUUAGCUAGGUGGUGAGGUAACGGCCCACCAAGGCAACGAUCGGUAGCCGGACUGAGAGGUUGAACGGCCACAUUGGGACUGAGACACGGCCCAGACUCCUACGGGAGGCAGCAGUGGGGAAUAUUGCACAAUGGGGGAAACCCUGAUGCAGCGACGCCGCGUGGAGGAAGAAGGUCUUCGGAUUGUAAACUCCUGUUGUUGAGGAAGAUAAUGACGGUACUCAACAAGGAAGUGACGGCUAACUACGUGCCAGCAGCCGCGGUAAAACGUAGGUCACAAGCGUUGUCCGGAAUUACUGGGUGUAAAGGGAGCGCAGGCGGGAAGACAAGUUGGAAGUGAAAUCCAUGGGCUCAACCCAUGAACUGCUUUCAAAACUGUUUUUCUUGAGUAGUGCAGAGGUAGGCGGAAUUCCCGGUGUAGCGGUGGAAUGCGUAGAUAUCGGGAGGAACACCAGUGGCGAAGGCGGCCUACUGGGCACCAACUGACGCUGAGGCUCGAAAGUGUGGGUAGCAAACAGGAUUAGAUACCCUGGUAGUCCACACCGUAAACGAUGAUUACUAGGUGUUGGAGGAUUGACCCCUUCAGUGCCGCAGUUAACACAAUAAGUAAUCCACCUGGGGAGUACGACCGCAAGGUUGAAACUCAAAGGAAUUGACGGGGGCCCGCACAAGCAGUGGAGUAUGUGGUUUAAUUAGACGCAACGCGAAGAACCUUACCAAGUCUUGACAUCCCUUGACGAUGCUGGAAACAGUAUUUCUCUUCGGAGCAAGGAGACAGGUGGUGCAUGGUUGUCGUCAGCUCGUGUCGUGAGAUGUUGGGUUAAGUCCCGCAACGAGCGCAACCCUUAUGGUCAGUUACUACGCAAGAGGACUCUGGCCAGACUGCCGUUGACAAAACGGAGGAAGGUGGGGAUGACGUCAAAUCAUCAUGCCCUUUAUGACUUGGGCUACACACGUACUACAAUGGCGUUAAACAAAGAGAAGCAAGACCGCGAGGUGGAGCAAAACUCAGAAACAACGUCCCAGUUCGGACUGCAGGCUGCAACUCGCCUGCACGAAGUCGGAAUUGCUAGUAAUCGUGGAUCAGCAUGCCACGGUGAAUACGUUCCCGGGCCUUGCAC
rnacentral:rRNA from 1 species